GAUAAGGUGCCUGAAAAAUAGGGCCACUAUGAUAGAGUGGAAAAUGUGUAAUAUACACCUUUAUUA
rnacentral:tRNA from 1 species